AAUUAAAUGCAUGCCAUUGUUCAUCUAGUUUUGUUUUUCUUUUAUUUCAGUUUUGCAUUAUAGCUAUUCCUGAGGAAGUGAAUCCCUAAGGUAAUCUGAGGAUCACAUGCACCUGCAUCAGAAUUACCUGCAAUUGCUUGGCUGGAGUGCAAUGAUGGCGUGAUCUCGGCUCACCACAUCCUCUGCCUCGUGGGUUCAGGCAAUUCUCCUGCCUCAGCCUCCGGAGUAGCUGAGACCGUGAGUAGCUGGCUCCGGAGUAGCGCCACCGUGCCCAGCUAAUUUUUUGUAUUUUUAGUAGAGACAGGGUUUCACCAUGUUGACCAGGAUGGUCUCGAUCUCUUGACCUCGUGAUUCACCCGCCUCGGCCUCCCAAAGUGCUGGGAUUACAGGCAUGAGCCACCGCACCUGGCCUGUAUGGAUUUUUAAAUGUGACAUAGGUCAAGUUGAUUGGUAGUAUUGUUCAUGUUGUUUAUUUUCUCAUUGAUUUUCUUCUUCUAUAUUUACUGAUUGAAGAAUGUUUAGUUCUCCACCUGUAGAUUGGUAUCUUUCUUUGGUUCUGUCAACUUCUGCAC
rnacentral:lncRNA from 1 species